UACGGGGGGGGCAAGCGUUGUUCGGAAUUACUGGGCGUAAAGGGCGCGUAGGCGGCCUUCUAAGUCGGACGUGAAAUCCCUCGGCUUAACCGAGGAACUGCGUCCGAUACUGAAAGGCUUGAAUCCGGGAGAGGGAUGUGGAAUUCCAGGUGUAGCGGUGAAAUGCGUAGAUAUCAGGAGGAACACCUGCGGUGUAGACGGCUUACUGGACCAUAACUGACGCUGAGGCACGAAAGCGUGGGUAGCAAACAGG
rnacentral:rRNA from 1 species